AACGUAGGUGGCAAGCGUUAUCCGGAAUUACUGGGCGUAAAGGGUGUGCAGGCGGGGUGGCAAGUGGUGUAUGAAAUCUCCCAGCUUAACUGGGAUAGGUUAUGCCAGACUGCUACUCUAGAGGACGAGAGAGGGGCGUGGAAUUCCGGGUGUAGAGGUGAAAUUCGUAGAUAUUCGCAAGAACACCAGUGGCGAAGGCGGCUCACUGGCCCGAUACUGACGCUGAGGCACGAAAGCGUGGGGAGCAAACAGG
rnacentral:rRNA from 1 species